rnacentral:tRNA from 1 species
GUCAAAUUAUAGCAUAUAAAAUGCCUUUUAUUUACAUUAAAAAAAAAAAUCAUAUUUUAAUU